rnacentral:rRNA from 1 species
GUUUAGGCAAGCCUUUCCGGUAGUUAGCGGAAGUCAAUGUCCCCAUGAGGGGGGCCAUUGCCCAUAGAGGGUGCAAGGCCCAUACGACAUCUCUUUCUGCCGGUUAGCGCUGCCUUGGAGUCGGGUUGCUUGAGAGUGCAGCCCAAAGUUGGAGGUAAACCCCUCCUAAGGCUAUAAUAUGACUGCGAGACCGAUAGCAAACAAGUACCGUGAGGGAAAGUUGAAAAGAACUUAGAGGUGAGAGUUCAACAGGGCGUGAAACCGCUUAGAAGUAAACGGAAGGUGCUGACAUUGUUUCUGCCGGAUUCAGCCUGUCUGAUGGUUCACGGCUUGUUCGCUGAUCGCAAGACGGCGGGCGGGUUUGCUGGGCCUAGGAUAGGUGCAUUUCCGGUAGAAUGCAUCAUGACCGCUGAUGGCGCUGGCAUAAGGCCGGUAGGUUGCCGGCUGCAGGUUUUCGGACUUGCAGUGACCCACUUACCGUGUCCUGUCCGAGUUGACGUCAGCGGGAACUGGACGUGCCCGGCUUUCUCAUGUUGUGCUUUCCUUUGGCCGAAUGCAAGGUUUGACCGUGUUCGCACAGUCAGACGACCCUCGGUUAAUUGAUUGUACGGCGUUGAGGUGGCACUGAAGGUCUAUGGUGUCCGCGUCAGUCUCCCUUCCGACCCGUCUUGAAACACGGACCAAGGAGUCUAACAUGUGCGCAAGUCAUAGGGUGGAAAACCCAAAGGCGUAAUGAAAGUAAAGGCCGCAAGGCUGAGGUGUGAUGUCUCGUUUUAACGGGAUCGCAACACCGUCCCAUCGCAUCGGCUCGUCCGGGCGGUGGAGACAGAGCGUACAUGUUGGGACCCGAAAGAUGGUGAACUAUGCCUGAGCAGGAUGAAGCCAGAGGAAACUCUGGUGGAGGUCCGUAGC